rnacentral:rRNA from 1 species
GUGGAUCUGAUUGCUUAUUGCACCACAUGUGUUUUUUAUUGAACAAAUUUCUUUGGUGGCGGGAGCAAUCCUACCGCCAGAGGUUAUAACUAAACCAAACUUUUUAUUUACAGUCAAACUUGAUUUAUUAUUACAAUAGUCAAAACUUUCAACAACGGAUCUCUUGGUUCUCGCAUCGAUGAAGAACGCAGCGAAAUGCGAUACGUAAUAUGAAUUGCAGAUAUUCGUGAAUCAUCGAAUCUUUGAACGCACAUUGCGCCCUUUGGUAUUCCAAAGGGCAUGCCUGUUUGAGCGUCAUUUCUCCCUCAAACCCCCGGGUUUGGUGUUGAGCAAUACGCUAGGUUUGUUUGAAAGAAUUUAACGUGGAAACUUAUUUUAAGCGACUUAGGUUUAUCCAAAACGCUUAUUUUGCUAGUGGCCACCACAAUUUAUUUCAUAACUUUGACCUCAAAUCAGGUAGGACUACCCGCUGAACUUAAGCAUAUCAAAAGGCGGAGGAA